UCAGUCUUCAUAAGAGACUCGGCAAAUGUCCAUAAGGGUUUGAAUUGAUGAAAUAGUCUUUAUUUCAGGGCCACAUGUUAGGAAGACUGAUGUGAUACAAAAAGAGAUGGAACAUCCAUUAGCAAGUGACAGAAUAUAAACCAGAAGAAGAAAAUGAAGCAAAUAUGGUGGCAAAAGAUUGUGCUACUGUAGUGCCAUUGGAUAACAAUGCAUUAGUCAGUGCUGACUAAUGCACAUAUAGGCCCUACUUCGGAAAAAGCACAAAGGCAACAAAGGCAGCUUCAAAAUACAGUUUUAAAAAUCCAUGUUAGCCUUUAUGGCAUUGUAGUAUCUUGUAUCUAUGCUUGUAUCAUCCAUUUGAAAUACUAAACAAUGAAUCUGUACCAGUUGAGUGGUUGGCUACCGUAGGACAAAUGCAUUCCCUGUGCAGUCUGCUUUCUCUAGAUGUGCAGUAGGCCAUACAUCUCAGUUCUAGUCUUCACAAUGAUCACUAAUGUAAGGCAGAGCAUCAGUUCAGAGCCAGGAACCCCUGUUGUGUUGAUGGCUGUGGGAAGAGCACACAAGGGAUGGCGCUAGAGUCACUUAAGGUCAUUCUACAUAAUGCAUGCACUAUCAUUAAAUCAACCUGCGACUAGGCCUGCACUCCACUGUAGAUCUCAGCGGUGCGAUGGCAGCUGAUCAAGGCAACACAUUCAUGCACUGUUCUACAUAGACACACAAAAUACACUGUUGGAUUAAAUAAGCUGAAUCAUGUGACGUGCUUUGUGACUAAUGGUCAUAUAUAAGGCCCAGAGAAGUUAGCUGUUAUUGGACUAUAAAAUGAGUAGAAGAGUUUAAGCAUAAUGUUAUACAUUAGGCCAAACAUCUUCUCCCAGAGACAGACAAGCAACAAAUUAAACUACAUGUGGCUGGGUUCAAGAUAUACUGUACUGUAUAUGUGUUCUACAGAAGCAAGUUUUGUGACUUGAACAUAUCACACCCCUAGAGUCAGGUGUACAUUUUUUUUUUUUUUUUUUUU